rnacentral:tRNA from 1 species
GGGGGGAUGCCCGAGCGGCCAAAGGGAGCAGACUGUAAAUCUGCCGGCGAAGCCUACGGAGGUUCAAAUCCUUCUCCCCCCA